AGUGCCACACCAUUUGCACCUGACAUCAUCAGGGAAAGGCAUAGAACACAUGCAUUCCUGCUCACGGACGGCAAGAGAAUAACAGCGUGAAAUCCCACGCUAUGGAUGGUAGCUUUGAAACACAUGGAGCAGAUCUGUAAAAGGUGACCGAGGUGAAAGGGUGGACCUCAUCGACGUAUCAGAGCAAGGUGGGAGCAGGGUGUGAAAAUGCGAUUAAAGAAAGAUUAAAUUUACCCAACAAUCGUGACAGUAAGGAGCACAGACAGAGCAGGCUGCAAAGCUUGUGUCACCUCCUGGUCACUUUCAAAUGAGACAUGCACCCUUGAGCGGCUUCAGCCCUUCAUCUCCACUGCUGACCUACAACUGAAGUGAUGACAGCACUGGAACUUCAGCUCGCGAUCUACCCUCUGUCUCUAAAGACCAACUACGACCACACAGAAGUUCUAAGUUCACCAUUGAGUUUACACCAUUGGACUUGGUUUCUCUGGUAGUGCCACACUAGAGCUGGUUCCCUGAUGAUUCAACCUUUGGCUUUCCUUCCUGUGAGAACCAGCUGAAAAUUCUGAACAAGGACAGAUUUGCAAAGACCUGCUGUCACAAAGCUCGCCCUGUCAGUUCAACCCAGAGUUUACAAGCAGCCCGUGCUUCCAUUAAAAAUAAUUCUUGUCCAGUGUUGCUGUCACCUCUUCUGAAAGAAGUGAAUGUGCUGGGUUAGACUUCCAUGGACAAGCCAGUGGCAUCUCAUUUCAAAUAGUAGCUUUCUCCUGUGUCUU